rnacentral:lncRNA from 1 species
GAUUUGGCCCUUUUGGGGAACACACCGUGAACGCCAGUUGGAUUGCAGUUCAGGAGCUAGAAAAGCUAGGCCUUGGCGACAGCGUGGACCUGCAUGUGUACGAGAUUCCGGUUGAGUACCAAACAGUCCAGAGACUCAUCCCCGCCCUGUGGGAGAAGCACAGUCCACAGAUAUCUCUGCGACUUUACCUACUACACCUCUUUGUACCAGAGUCACGGUCGAUCAGCCUUCGUCCACGUGCCCCCACUGGGGAAGCCGUACAACGCGGACCAGCUGGGCAGGGCACUGAGAGCCAUCAUUGAGGAGAUGUUGGACCUCCUGGAGCAGUCAGAGGGCAAAAUCAACUAUUGCCACAAACACUGAGGGACGCUCAGGUCUCCUAAGACCUCAUCCUGCUGGGGACCCCACGAGGGGACAUCCACCCUCUGGGGUGUGGCCAGGAAAAGACAAGCUCUUCAGCUUGGGGAU